UACGGGGGGUGCAAGCGUUGAUCGGAUUGACUGGGCGUAAAGGGAGCGUAGGCGGUCGGAAAAGUAGAAUGUGAAAUCUUGAGGCUUAACCUCAAAACUGCAUUCUAAACUUUCUGACUAGAGGGUGGUAGGGGAAAACAGAAUUCUGCAUGUAGCGGUGAAAUGCGUAGAUAUGCAGAGGAAUACCGGUGGCGAAGGCGGUUUUCUGUACCAUCCUGACGCUGAGGCUCGAAAGUAUGGGGAGCAAACAGG
rnacentral:rRNA from 1 species